rnacentral:rRNA from 1 species
CCUACGGGUGGCAGCAGUGGGGAAUAUUGCACAAUGGGGGGAACCCUGAUGCAGCAACGCCGCGUGAGUGAAGAAGUAUUUCGGUAUGUUAAGCUCUAUCAGCCGGGAAGAGAAUGACGGUACCUGACUAAGGAGCCCCGGCUAACUACGUGCCAGCAGCCGCGGUAAUCCGUCGGGCGCGGGCGUUAUCCGGAUGUACUGGGUGUAAAGGGGGCCUAAACGGUAUUGUAAGGCUGAAGUGAAAGCCCGUGGCUUAACCGCGGAACGGCCUUGGAAACUGUGGAACUGGAGUGCUGGAGAGGUAAGCGGAAUGCGUAGUGUAGCGGUGAAAUGCGUAGAUAUUAGGAGGAACACCAGUUGCGAAGGCGGCUUGCUGGACAGUAACUGACGUUGAGGCUCGAAAGCGUGGGGAUCAAACAGGAUUAGAUACCCUAGUAGUC